UACGUAGGGCGCAAGCGUUGUCCGGAAUUAUUGGGCGUAAAGAGCUCGUAGGCGGUCUGUUACGUCCGCUGUGAAAACCCAGGGCUUAACCCUGGGCUUGCAGUGGAUACGGGUAGACUAGAGGCAGGUAGGGGAGAAUGGAAUUCCCGGUGUAGCGGUGAAAUGCGCAGAUAUCGGGAGGAACACCGGUGGCGAAGGCGGUUCUCUGGGCCUGACCUGACGCUGAGGAGC
rnacentral:rRNA from 1 species